AGUGAACGCUGGCGGUAGGCCUAACACAUGCAAGUCGAACGGCAGCACAGUAAGAGCUUGCUCUUACGGGUGGCGAGUGGCGGACGGGUGAGGAAUACAUCGGAAUCUACUUUUUCGGGGGGGAUAACGUAGGGAAACUUACGCUAAUACCGCAUACGACCUACGGGUGAAAGCAGGGGAUCUUCGGACCUUGCGCGAUUGAAUGAGCCGAUGUCGGAUUAGCUAGUUGGCGGGGUAAAGGCCCACCAAGGCGACGAUCCGUAGCUGGUCUGAGAGGAUGAUCAGCCACACUGGAACUGAGACACGGUCCAGACUCCUACGGGAGGCAGCAGUGGGGAAUAUUGGACAAUGGGCGCAAGCAUGAUCCAGCCAUACCGCGUGGGUGAAGAAGGCCUCCGGGUUGUAAAGCCCUUUUGUUGGGAAAGAAAAGCAGCAGGUUAAUACCCCGCUGUUCUGACGGUACCCAAAGAAUAAGCACCGGCUAACUUCGUG
rnacentral:rRNA from 1 species